rnacentral:rRNA from 1 species
CUUGGCGGCCAUAGCGCUGUGGUACCACCUGAUCCCUUGCCGAACUCAGAAGUGAAACGCAGCUGCGCCGAUGAUAGUGUGGGGUCUCCCCAUGUGAAAGUAGGUCAUCGCCAAGC